ACACACAAUAAUAUGGAGUGGAUCACCAGGAAACAUUUGCUCCUGUAGCAAGAAUAGAUCUAUGUAGAGCAACCUGAUGGUUUCUCAACUCCUGGAAAAAAGGAUCAAGUUUAUCUCUUAACGGAGGCCUUGUAUGGCCUAAAACAAGACCCAAGGGUAUGGUAU